AGAGUUUGAUCCUGGCUCAGGACGAACGCUGCGGCAUGCCUAAUACAUGCAAGUCGAGCGAACAGAUGAAGUGCUUGCACUUCUGACGUUAGCGGCGAACGGGUGAGUAACACGUAAGGAAUCUACCUAUAAGCGGGGGAUAACAUUCGGAAACGGGUGCUAAUACCGCAUAAUAUCUUCUUCCGCAUGGAAGAAGAUUGAAAGACGGCUCUGCUGUCACUUAUAGAUGACCUUGCGGUGCAUUAGUUAGUUGGUGGGGUAACGGCCUACCAAGACGAUGAUGCAUAGCCGACCUGAGAGGGUGAUCGGCCACAUUGGGACUGAGACACGGCCCAAACUCCUACGGGAGGCAGCAGUAGGGAAUCUUCCGCAAUGGGCGAAAGCCUGACGGAGCAAUGCCGCGUGAGUGAAGAAGGCCUUCGGGUCGUAAAACUCUGUUAUAAGAGAAGAACAAAUUGUAGAGUAACUGCUACAGUCUUGACGGUAUCUUAUCAGAAAGCCACGGCUAACUACGUGCCAGCAGCCGCGGUAAUACGUAGGUGGCAAGCGUUGUCCGGAUUUAUUGGGCGUAAAGGGAGCGCAGGUGGUUUCUUGAGUCUGAUGUGAAAGCCCACGGCUUAACCGUGGAGGGUCAUUGGAAACUGGGAAACUUGAGUACAGAAGAGGAAUGUGGAACUCCAUGUGUAGCGGUGGAAUGCGUAGAUAUAUGGAAGAACACCAGUGGCGAAGGCGACAUUCUGGUCUGUUACUGACACUGAGGCUCGAAAGCGUGGGGAGCAAACAGGAUUAGAUACCCUGGUAGUCC
rnacentral:rRNA from 1 species